GACGAACCGUCCAAACGUUAUUCGGAAUUAUUGGGCUUAAAGGGUGCGUAGGCUGUGCAGUAAGUUGGGUGUGAAAUCCCUCGGCUCAACCGAGGAACUGCGCCGAAUACUGCUGUGCUAGAGGGAGAUAGGGGUAAGCGGAACUGAUGGUGGAGCGGUGAAAUGCGUUGAUAUCGUAAGGAAGACCAGUGGCGAAGGCGGGUCUCUGGACAGUUCCUGACGCUGAGGCACGAAGGUCAGGGGAGCAAACGGG
rnacentral:rRNA from 1 species